rnacentral:rRNA from 1 species
CGCGUAGGCGGCUUAGUAAGUCAAAUGUGAAAGCCCCUGGCUUAACCUGGGAAUUGCAUUCGAUACUGCUGAGCUAGAGUAUGGUAGAGGGAAGUGGAAUUUCCGGUGUAGCGGUGAAGUGCGUAGAUAUCGGAAGGAACACCAGUGGCGAAGGCGACUUCCUGGGCCAAUACUGACGCUGAGGUGCGAAAGCGUGGGGAGCAAACA